rnacentral:tRNA from 1 species
GGGGGAUUAGCUCAGCUGGCUAGAGCGCUACACUGGCAGUGUAGAGGUCACCGGUUCGACUCCGGUAUUCUCCACCC